GGGGCAAGUAGGCGGUAGAGAGGAGAUGGAGAGCUGAACUGUCGCUGGCUAGGUCUGGGUUCAUUCCUCGGACUCUCGCAUGUGCACGUCUCGACUCCUUCCUCAACCUUUCUUUCUCUUUCCUUCACACCCGUGCAUCCAUCGUAGGUCGCUCGAAAGAGUGAUCUAUGUUCUUCUCUUAUCACACCCGAGUCGUAUGUCCAUAGAACGAUAACACACGAUAAUACAACUUUCAGCAACGGAUCUCUUGGCUCUCGCAUCGAUGAAGAACGCAGCGAAUUGCGAUAAGUAAUGUGAAUUGCAGAUUUUCAGUGAAUCAUCGAAUCUUUGAACGCACCUUGCGCUCCUUGGUAUUCCGAGGAGCAUGCCUGUUUGAGUGUCAUCGAAUUCUCAACCAUGUCUUGAUCGACUUCAAGGCCAUGGCUUGGAGUUUGGAAGCUGCUGGCAUCGAAGAGAUGUCAGCUCUUCUGAAAUGUAUUAGCGAUGGACGAGCGAUCGUUCUGACGUGCGCGGCCUUCCGACGUGAUAAUGAUCGUCGUGGCUGGAGCGUUCAGACAUCACAUUCAUCAUGGUCUGAUCGCUUCCAAUCCCCCCUCAUGUUGACUUGACCUCAAAUCAGGUAGGACUACCCGCUGAACUUAAGCAUAUCAAUAAGCGGAGGAAAG
rnacentral:rRNA from 1 species